ACUGUUCUCCAACUGCCUUCAUCAUUCUGAAACCAGAACACAACUAAUGUUGAGGAUGACUCAUUUACCCUCCUGCCACCUAAAGAGAGGCAGAAACUGUAUGAUGUGUCUGUUUCUAUAAGUCCCAAACAUAGGUAGAAACUGUCUGAUGUGUCUGUGUCUAUAAGUCCCAUAACAUAGGUAGGGUUGCUGCAAUGAUUUGCCGGUCCAGUCAGAGAGACUGAGG